AGUGAACGCUGGCGGCGUGCUUAACACAUGCAAGUCGAACGAGGACGGGUUAUAGCUUGCUAUAAUUGUCAGCUAAGUGGCGCACGGGUGAGUAAUGUAUAGGUAAUAUGCCUCUUACUAAGGGAUAACAAAUGGAAACGUUUGCUAAUACCUUAUACUCCUUAUUAACAUAAGUUAAUAAGGGAAAGAUUUAUUGGUAAGAGAUUAGCCUGUAUUGUAUCAGUUAGUUGGUGGGGUAAUGGCUUACCAAGACUAUGACACAUAACUGGUUUGAGAGGAUGAUCAGUCACACUGGAACUGAGACACGGUCCAGACUCCUACGGGAGGCAGCAGUGGGGAUAUUGCACAAUGGACGAAAGUCUGAUGCAGCAACGCCGCGUGGAGGAUGACACAUUUCGGUGCGUAAACUCCUUUUAUAUGAGAAGAUAAUGACGGUAUUAUAUGAAUAAGCACCGGCUAACUCCGUGCCAGCCGCCGCCGUAA
rnacentral:rRNA from 1 species